UCAAGAGUACGUGAAACCGUUCAGGGGUAAACCUGAGAAACCCAAAAGAUCGAACGGGGAGAUUCACCGUCAACGUAACUGGCUUCGCGGUGGGAUCGCGAUGUCCGGUGCCACGGCACCGAGACACGUGUCCUCCGUGUUAUGUCCAGUAGGGUCGGCGUGCACUUCUCCCCUAGUAGGACGUCGCGACCCGUCGAGAUACGGCCUAAGGCACGGGCGUGAGCCUGUCACGAUGCGUUUCGGCGUACGUGGCAGAACCUCGUUGUCCCGACCGGCUGCUCGGCGGUAAGCGCACGGUAUAGGGCCGCAAACUCACGAGAUUGCGUCCAGCCCGUCGCAAGCGAAGGUCAGUGUACACCUGGAGGUACGGACCCAGUGCCGUCCCCAGGCCUGGCCCGCUGUUGGUCGACGGUGUCCUCGGACUGGCCAAGAAAGCAAUACCGGUCGGCGACGCUACUGCUUUGGGUACUUUCAGGACCCGUCUUGAAA
rnacentral:rRNA from 1 species